rnacentral:rRNA from 1 species
CCGGCGACCGGCGCACGGUGAGUAACACGUAUGAAACCUGCCCGUAGCAGGGGGAUAAGCGGAAGAAAUUCCGUCUAAUACCGCGUAACAACCCAUGGAGGCAUCUCUGUGGGUUUAAAGGAAGCGAUUCCGGCUACGGAUGGUCAUGCGUCGCAUUAGCUUGUUGGCGGGGUAACGGCCCACCAAGGCGACGAUGCGUAGGGGUUCUGAGAGGAAGGCCCCCCACACUGGUACUGAGACACGGACCAGACUCCUACGGAAGGCAGCAG